UUUCCUCCUAUCUCCGAUAAAAGGUAUGUAAAGAGGGGCAACUGUCAUACCCAAAUUUUGUCCAGGGACGAUUUUUUGAUGGCAUGCAACCUUCGCUUGACCGCUUCGAGACACCCAUCGUUAAGCAAUCCGUGAAGUUCCGCGACAUGUCGGGAGUCGAAAGGAAACAUUAUUGCGCAAUCCGUAAAGUUCCGUAACAUUCCAGAAGCCAAAGAGGGGGUGGUUCCGUAAUCUGUAAAGUUUCAUGACAUUACAGAAAGAAAACAAGUAUCGUUACGUAAUCCGUAAGGUUCCGUAACGUUACGGAAAAAGAAUCAGCAAAGAAGUGGGGGUGAACUUAUCAAGAUAGGGGUGUAAAUAGCAAUUUGAAUCUAGGCCCUUCCAGAACAUUUUGGAAGUUGGGUUGCUUAAGGAGGAAGCAAUUGGGCCGCAAGCUCCUCCACGUUUUUGAAAAAUGGUUUUCGGGGCUUCCCUGGCUUCCGUAAAAUUUCUGAAAACCUUGGGUAAGCAUAUUCCACUUAACAUUGGUGAAAGAGAAGAGAAAAAAAGAUGAAAGUUAAGUCAUAUAUGCUUCCGUAACUUUUCCGUAAAUUACGAAAGAAGGUGGGGUGAACUUAUCAAGAUAGGGGUGUAAAUAGCAAUUCGAGUCUAGGCCCUUCUAGAACAUUUUCAAAGUUGGGUUGCUUAAGGAGGAAACAACUAGGCGGCAAGCUCCUCCACGUUUUUGAAAAAUGGUUUCCGGGGCUUCCGUUGCUUCCGUAAUGCUUCGUAAAAUUUCCGAAAACCUUGGGUAAGCAUAUUCCACUUAACAUUGGUGAAAGGGAAGA
rnacentral:lncRNA from 1 species